CUCUUACCCAUCUAUUUUUCAUAAUUCUGCUUUCACGUACCAGAUUUUUGUUCCUGAUCUCACCAUCUCUGCAUCAAAUAAAACUUACCCAGGUUCACAAAAAAGUCAUAUCAUCUCUUCUUAUAGUGAUCUCAGUGUCACUUUGGAUAUACCCUUUUCAAAUUUUCGUUUUUUUCUUGUCAGAGGAAGCCCCUUUUUGACAUGUUCUAUAACUGGCAAUACAGCAAUUUCUAUAUCAACAAUCCACGCCAUUCUUUCAUUCUCUUCGAAUAAUUCAC
rnacentral:misc_RNA from 1 species